GAUGAACGCUAGCGGCAGGCCUAAUACAUGCAAGUCGAACGAUAGUGAGAAGCUUGCUUCUCACGAAAGUGGCGCACGGGUGCGUAACGCGUAUGCAACCUACCUUAAUCAGGGGGAUAGCCCGAAGAAAUUCGGAUUAACACCGCAUAAAAUCACAGUAUAGCAUUAUACAAUGAUCAAAUAUUUAUAGGAUUAAGAUGGGCAUGCGUGACAUUAGUUAGGUGGCGGGGUAACGGCCCACCAAGACCACGAUGUCUAGGGGAUCUGAGAGGAGGCCCCCCCAGGCUGGUACUGAGACACGGACCAGACUCCUACGGGAGGCAGCAGUAAGGAAUAUUGGUCAAUGGAGGCAACUCUGAACCAGCCAUGCCGCGUGCAGGAAGACAGCCCUCUGGGUCGUAAACUGCUUUUAUUCGGGAAUAAACCUAUCUACGUGUAGAUAGCUGAAUGUACCGAAGGAAUAAGGAUCGGCUAACUCCGUGCCAGCCGCCGCGGUAA
rnacentral:rRNA from 1 species